rnacentral:rRNA from 1 species
UACAGAGGGGGGCAAGCGUUGUUCGGAAUUACUGGGCGUAAAGAGCGUGUAGGCGGCCAGGUAGGUCUGCUGUGAAAACUCGAGGCUUAACCUCGAGAUGUCGGCGGAAACCAUCUGGCUAGAGUCCGGGAGAGGGAUGUGGAAUUCCAGGUGUAGCGGUGAAAUGCGUAGAUAUCUGGAGGAACACCGGUGGCGAAGGCGGCAUCCUGGACCGGCAUUGACGCUGAGGCGCGAAAGCUAGGGGAGCAAACGGGG